rnacentral:tRNA from 1 species
AAAGGGAGACCUAAUUCGGGUAUAAGACGAAAAAAUAGUAGUCGAAACCAAGAAUCAAUCCCAAAAGGUCGGAACGAGGUAUGUGGCUUUCAAACUAGGUUCUGGGUUCAUAAAAGACCUGAAUCAGGAACAAGGGCUAUUAGCUCAGGUGGUUAGAGCGCACCCCUGAUAAGGGUGAGGUCCCUGGUUCGAGUCCAGGAUGGCCCACCUGCACAGGUGGCAAAAGCAAAGAAAAGAAGCGAGGAAUCAGCACCUUAUCUUACUUAUAUAGUAAGAGAGAAUGCUGGCUCUGAGUACAGAGUCCAGAGGAACCUUGAAAACUGCAUAGAGCUAGGUGAAAAAGCCAAAAAAGAAGACCGCAAG